AACGUAGGACACAAGCGUUAUCCGGAGUUACUGGGCGUAAAGGGCGUGUAGGCGGAGAUGUAAGUCUAUUCUGAAAGCUCCUGGCUAAACUGGGAGAGGCGAAUGGAGACUGCAUAUCUAGAGUGAGGAAGAGGAAAGUGGAAUUCCGCGUGUAGUGGUGAAAUGCGUAGAGAUCCGGAGGAACACCAGUGGCGAAGGCGACACGCUGGGCCGUACCUGACACUGAUGCGCGACAGCAUGGGGAGCAAACAGG
rnacentral:rRNA from 1 species